GCAAACUUGGUCAUUUAGAGGAAGUAAAAGUCGUAACAAGGUUUCCGUAGGUGAACCUGCGGAAGGAUCAUUAUUGAAUAAACUGGUCUAGGUUGUUGCUGGCUCUUAGGAGCAUGUGCACAUCUAUUCCAUUUGUUAACUUCUACCCCCCUGUGCACCUAGUGUAGAUCUGAACAACGCUCGAGGAGAACCUCGGUUUGAGAAUUGCUGUGCACCAAAGCCAGCUUUUCUUGGAAUUCUGGUCUAUGUUAUAUAUACACUCUAAAAAUACUCGAAUGUCUACUAGGCCUGCUGUGCCUACAAAAAAUAAUUACAACUUUCAACAACGGAUCUCUUGGCUCUCGCAUCGAUGAAGAACGCAGC
rnacentral:misc_RNA from 1 species